AUACGGUGGGUGCAAGCGUUACUCGGAAUCACUGGGCGUAAAGCGCGCGCAGGCGGCUAUUUAAGUUGGAUGUGAAAGCCUACGGCUCAACCGUAGAACUGCAUCCAAAACUAUUUAGCUAGAGUGUGGGAGAGGAAGAUGGAAUUAGUUGUGUAGGGGUAAAAUCCGUAGAGAUAACUAGGAAUACCAAAAGCGAAGGCAAUCUUCUCGAACACUACUGACGCUGAGGCGCGAAAGCGUGGGGAGCAAACAGGAUUAGAAACCCUAGUAGUCC
rnacentral:rRNA from 1 species